GAUAUUAACCAAGACAUUCAAUCUUUCUAACUCUGUUUUCUUACCUAUAAAACAUGGUACAUCCGCCUUAAUAUGCCCGUUAUGAGAAUUAAUUGAGAAUAAUUUACAAAAAAGAUUUAACACCAUGCUUUGGUUCACAGGUGUUCAGUAAAGGAACCUAUAUUAAUUGUCCUUUUCACAAUGAGUCAAAGAAUGAAUGGGAGAGGUUACAAAUAAGGAUGGAAAAGAAUGAGAUUAGAAAAUUAAGAAGCCUUUAACUAUAUAUACAAUGCUGCAAGUUCAGAAGCAAAAGCACCUGAACCAAAUACAUCUCAGAGGUGGGUGGGACAUAAAUUUUUGUUGUUUUUUUCUCUUUGCAUUUCUGGAAUUCUGAAUUAUUACAACUUUUUUUUAAAAGCCAUCCUCCAGGAUUUUAUCACGGAAGUCCCUGAAACCUGGACUCUGCACUCUUAAGACAAAUAGGACAGACCUGGGGAAAUGGUCAGACCUUAUAUUGUGUUUUUGGCCUUGAAAAUAGCAAGUGACCAGAAUCUGCCGUAACAACAGGCUUUUAAAAAGACCCUUAAAAAGACACUGUCUUAACUGUGGUGUUAGCACCAGCCAGCUCUCUGUACAUUUGCUAGCUUGUAGUUUUCUAAGACUGAGUAAACUUCUUAUUUUUAGAAGUGGAGGUCUGGUUUGUAACUUUCCUUGUAUUUAAUUGGGUAAAAGUAUUUUCCACAAACCACCAUCUAUUUUGUGAACUUUGUUAGUCAUCUUUUAUUUGGUAAAUUAUGAACUGGUAUAAAUUUGUACAGUUCAUGUAUAUUAAUUGUGGCAAAGGUGUACAGAUUUCUAUAUUUUGGAUAAGAAAUUUUUUUCUCUAUAUAAUAAAUCGUUUCUUAUCUUGGCAUU